UUUUGUGGUCUAUGCGGUUUCCGGUUUUUGUAGGCUCUGUAGUUUUAGUAUCAGUUGUAAUGUGUAUGUGUUUUUGUGGGUUGUGUAGUUUUACAGAAUGCCCCAAGUAGCAAUUGCUUUUUGAACUAUCGAUAAUUUUGACUUUGACAUUUCGAAUGUCAUUGUCAAUGUGUCAGAUAUUUAGUAGAAGGUUUUCGGUUUACGGAAUAGUUUAUUUUACGCUCGAAGAAUUCUGAUCGUUAAUGGGGCUAUCGGGGAAUGUUGUAAGGCUUUAUCUUUUCCCGAAUGGAAGAAGAACACAUAGGCGACAUAUGUUUCCAGCAUGAUGGCGCUACGUGCCACACAACCAACGUGGAAGAAGCCAAGACGAAUUCGCCGAACUGACGAAUUUGCUGAACUGUGUUAGUGGACCGUGUUGCUGAACUGUGCCGCUGUGUUGCUAAAAAGUUGUUUGCUAGGAAGUAUUGCUGUGUUGGAAAACGAUGGAUAAGGAUUACUCGGUAAACAUAUGACGAAAAGUAAGAGGAAACUAAUUUUAUGCAAUACCUUCUACAGAAUUUUGACAUUUGCAACAAACUGGAAAAACUUAGUCUGGAGUGUAAUAAAAUUAUAACUGAGAUGCCGGCAAAUAACGAUUCUAUAUUUAGAUUUAAAAAUUUUAAAAAUCAAUUAGACGUUCCUUUUGACGUAUAUGCAAAUUUUGAAUGUAUUUAAGAGGAGAUAUAUAUUAAAAGUUCGGAUAACAUAAAUUAAAUUCAAAA